rnacentral:lncRNA from 1 species
AGGAGAGGAGGUGAGAAAAAACAAAAAUGGCAAAGUUCAAAAUUGAUUUAUGCUGUGUGAUCAUUUACUAGAAAUUGUAGAUGGGAUAGGCAUAUGGGAAAGGCCUGUGUUUGUUUAGGUGACAGGCUUAAGGUUAUUUUACUGAUGGUUUCAAUAGUAGAUAUUUCUGGUUGUCUCCUGUGAGUAAGUUGGAAGUUACAUAAACUAUUAUUUUAUAACAAAUUAAGUAUCUAAAUUCCCUAUGACUCUUAUUUGCUUACAUUUUGAACUUGAGAAAAAAAAAAACAGCAAGCAAAUAAGAUAAAUAUGCCUUAACUGGGAUGGAAAAAAUCACUUGGAAAUGAAUGGGACAAAUCUGUUAUCUUCUAUAAGGAAUGAAAAGCAUUUUGUCUUUCUCUGUUUGAGGAAAGAGGAAUCCAAGAUUUUCUCUGUGAAUAUGAAGACACACAACUAGAGGCACCAGCCAGAAUGGGGUUUAGCACAUUAAAUCUGUGAUGAAAAUUCCAGAAUUUACAUGAAAACUCCUGACAUAAUCUUGGCAUUGAGAAAAUGUCCAGCUGAGUAAAGGCAGCAGGUUUCAGAGCACUCAGAAAAGGUCUGACUAAAGCAAAACCUCUGACUCUCUUAUUUUUAGAGCAGUCAUAUUAGUCCAAGGUUACCUCCAUGAAAAAGAAUCUUCACUGUAUUAAUGCUAAAAAGAUCUCUUGGUGGAAAUGUAUUUUGAGAGUUGUUGGAACUCUGUUUUUUAUAAGUUGCUUAACUUUUAAAGUACUAAUAAUGGAGCACUUACUUAAAAAUCACUCUAAUAUCCUAUUUUUUAAGUUAUUGUUUUCACAAAAGGCAUAAAAUAUAAAGUAUCUUAGAAAAAGAUAUUACCCCUCCAUUCUUGUAGUUAGUGCUAUGGACCGAAUUAUGCAUCCCUACCAAAAUCUUACAUCAAAGUCCUCAUUCCUGGUGUGGCUGUAUUUAGGGAUGAGACCUCUAAGAAGUCAGCUAAGGCCAAAUAAUGUCAGAAAGAUGGGGCCCUAGUCCCAUAGGAUUAGUGUCCUUAUAAGAAGAGAAACCAGAGAGCUAGCUCUCCUUGCACACACAGAGAGGCAGCCACCUGCGACCCAAGGGAAAGCUCUCACCAGACAGUAACCCUUCUGACACCCUUCCCUUGGACUUGCAGGUUCCAGAACUGUGAUAAAACACAUCCACAUUUCUGUUGUUUCAGUCACUUUGUUUGUGGUAUAUUAUAGCAACUUGAACAGACCGAGGCAGGGAGGGAUGCAACUUGCUCAUUAGAUGGUAAGACAUAAAAGUAUCAAGUAAGUAACCUGGCAGCUAACUUUAAGUUGGAAAUCUUAAUCCAUCCCUUGUUCAUCUUUGUGGUUUGUGUCUCUUAAUAGUAGAAACCACACAAGACUUAUUGAUUUAAAAUAGCUGUAAAUAUUACAGUAAACAUCAGAGACAUUGCAAAGUAAAACCAAUGGGAACUUUAAUAUUUUUGUUUGCUGAUGAUUUAUUUAUGCUUGGAAAUUUGCUUACUUAUAUUCUGAAUCAUUUUUCCCAUCAAGGGCACAGGAAGAAGAGGUACCUAUAAAACAUGUCAGACCUCCUGCAGAAAAGUCAUGUGAAAUGUCUAAGAAAUGAGUUAUAGGAUAUUACGGAAUUCUAUCUUAGUUAGGAUUGUUCAAGGAACAGAGCUAACCAUCAGGUGACUUCCAGUAAUGCAGCAAUGUUUGUGUAUUGUAACAGAAAUAAAAGAAAGUGUGCACAGCCUUGUAACAAACAAGCCUCCUGAGAACUGGAGCUUCAUUCACAAUCCCUCAGAAGCUGUUAUUCUUGAGCCUGAUUAUCUUCUUCUCUGUUCUUGCUCUAACAUGGCUCAUGCUUACUACCUUCUCUUUAAGAGUCUUUCUAUUCCUCUUGCCUUCCUGUUCUGUGUUAUGUCUUAUCUUUCUGUAUCUUAAAUUCUCAAGAAAGGAUCUGAUUCAGAUGGUUUGUUCAGUGCACACUUCUCCUGCUGGGUAGAGAGCUUGAGCCAGGCCAUGUGAUGGAGCACUGGCCUCCCUUGUGUCAAGCUGGGAUGGGCUUUGACUUCUUGUGGUCAGACUUGCACAGUUAUGUGACCCAAAUCAUGGUCAUGGAAUUGACAUGGGUGGAUAUUAAAAAUUUAAAUGGACAUAUACGUGUAGAUAAGAAGAAACUUGUGGAAAUAUAUGUAUAUGUAUAUACAUACACACCAAGGUCUGUCUUUCACGUUUCAGCAAAAUCCUGCCUAUGUCACCAUCCAUUUUGGGAUCUGUAGUCUUCACUCUUGACUUUUGCUCUUAUAAGCAUGAAGAAAUGUUUCUUUCUCUUUAUGUUUUCCGUUUGAUCUACUUCCCUCCCAUCUCUGACACCACAGCCAGGCAGGAUCUGUUUGAGCAGACUAGCGAAGACCAGAGUCAGGAGCUGGUACCGGGAUAGGCACAGGCGUGGAGAGAAGAGAGGGAGGUAAGGGUGCAGGUGCCAGGAGCAAAUGGAUUCCUGGCCAGCACAGCAAAGUAUCUCUUGGUCCCCUGCUGGAAACCAGUUGGUUGUUUAAUAUCUAAACAGGUCUCCCUCUCAAAUUAGCUGUGUGACCUUUGUCAGUACCCAGUCUCAUUGAGCUUGGAGAAAGAGUUUGGAUUUUAUUCCUAGCAUGAUGGGAAGUCCAGGGGAGAUUUUAAGCAAAGGAGAAACAUGGUAUCAAUUUUGUUUAGAAAAAUCACCCAGGCUGCAGGCUCAGUGGUUUGAAGGCAGAAGGGAUAAAGCAGGGAGAACAGUUAGCAGGCUGAUGUAUCUGGGAGGAGGUCUGUCAGGGAAAGCAACACUUUAGGCCUAUCAGGGAAAUGCUAAUGGCUUGGAGCCCAGGUGAGUGGGCAGAUGGGCAUGCCUCAAUGUAGACAGAAAAAAGGGGGCAGAUUUGAGAUAUACUUUGAGGAUGGAAUCCAGGAGAAGAUUUUUUUAAUGGAUUAGAAUAACAACAGCCGUAAAACAGCAACAAGGGAGCAAACAACUACUUCAAACCGUGGGGUGGCCCUGGGCAAUUCAUGCUGCAGAAGAUUCUGUCCUUUCAUUCACUUUCUUUAUCUCCUUUGGCACCAGGACCCCUACUAAGCAGCCCUCCAGCAGCACCUUAUGCUCAAUUUCUUUCUGAAUCCACUUCCUGUACUCACUUCUUAUAACUUCAAGUCUUCCUUGGCCCUAGGGAAUAACCAAAGUUAAUUUUGUUUUUACCAUGCCCACUCCAUGUGGAAGUUCCUGGGCCAGGGAUUGAACCUGCACCACAGCAGUGACCUGAGCCAUGGCAGUGACAACACCAGAUCCUUAACCCACUGAACCACCAGGGAACUCCUGCAAAGUUAAUUUUUUGAAAAGAUAUUUUCUACUAAAUAGGAAUGAUUUCAUAUACAAUGUCCCCAAGAAAUAAAACAUCUGCCUUUUAGCACAAAAUAAUCCUUAUUGGAAGGUCAGACACAGUGACCAGGUCAGUAGGAGCUUUAUUUGAGUGUAGGAGGGCACUUUAAUGUCCCUAGAAUGCUAUUACUUUAUUUAAACCUCCAACUUUUACUAAAAGUAGUUCUAUCUAGGUUGGUAUUGGGUAUCUCUCUUCUGUGAAUUCUGUACAUCAGAAAAUUUUUGGUAGUGCUUUUAAAAACACACUCACCUGAAAACACCCAAACACACCCACAAACACAUACACACUCCUAAAAACAUACACACUAGCAAUCGUGCCUGCAUCCCAUUCUGAAUCAUAAUCUCAGGGAUAUUUUCACAAGUUCCACAGGUCAGAAGUCACUAAACUUCUCCUUAAAGGGCCACAUGGUAAAUCUAUCAGACUUCGUGGGCCAUCUGAUCUCUGCCCCGGCUGCUCAAAUCUGCUGUGAUUCCCCCAAAUAAGUAAACAGGCAAGUGUGGCUGUGUUUCAGUGAAACUUGCUUACAGAACAAGCAAUGGGCCCAAGGUGGCCGCCAUAGCUCCACAUGGUCCUCCAGCCUCGCAGGUGGCCCUGCUGCUUUGAUCCUGGCUUGGGGAAUUUGCAUCAGUCCCUGAUCAUCCAUUGAAUCAACAAUUUAUUUCUUGUGUGUUUACAUGUGCCAGACACUUAGAGUACAAAUUCAGGUCCCUUCCUUCAAGGAGUCACAGAUGCUGGAGAAAAAAGACACAGAGACAAUUAAUGGCAGGGCCAGGGUGAGCACCAAUUUCUAUGGAAGGGGUAAUGAGGGGAGUCAAAGUGAAUGUGGGCGGUGAAAGGAGCAUUCCAGAGGAGUUGACUUGAAUUCUUGUCCCAAGGCCAAUUCUGGCCUGAAGUAUUUUCCUCAGAAGUCCUGGCCUCUGGCUGCCAGUCUCCUGCCUCAGUCCCACCCAGGCUGUAGUCCUACUUUGUGCCUGGAUCAUGCAACUGUGUUCUCAGGCUCCCUCUCUCCUUCUGGCAUCAGUGGUUUUAUGUAAUCCCAGUUUCCUUACCACUCCGAUCACUCUCCUAGUACAAGCUGCUGGGACUGGCUCUCUGUAGUUCCAAGGAUUAUUCUGGUACUUAGUUUCUAAAGCCUGGUGCCAGCCUUCCUCUUGCAGGCUGCUAGGGUCUGAAUUUCUGCUUUCCCCACACAGACUUCUUUCCAGAUGCAGGCUCUCUGGACAGCACCUGUUCAACAUAAUGUGCCCUCGUCUCCUCCCAGGUCAUCUCUGCACUGAUUCCUAUGAACAACUUACCUAUUUCUUUUCUGCCAUCCAACCAAUCCAUUUUUAAGCACUGUUUUCUACUCCUAGUGCAAGCAUGAUUUUGUAGCAGUUGCUACUUUCUAGAACUGCUCAGUGGAAGCAGUUAACCUUCUAGUAGUGGUGCCGGUAUAGACCUAAAUUCCAGUUUACAGGCUUGAGAGAGAGGACCCUUCAACAAUUGUCUCUACUUUCUCCAGUUGGUUGUGAAUGCUUUCAUACUCUUAUAACUCAGCUGUGGGCAGUUGUUAUGUUCCCUAGGGUGCCUCUUGGUGUCUUUACGAAGUUUAGUAGCAUCACAAAGCACAGCCUCAUUAGCUUGGGCUUGAAGCACAUCCAGGAAACAGGUCCCUUCCUCACCCUUUUGGCCUGGAACCAUCAUGGCGUGUGGGAAGCCUGGGGGUAUUCCCUUUAAUGAUAUUUAGAGGUUGUCCGAGCUGAGUGAAACAUGGCUUUGGUGCUGGCUAAAGCAUCUUUGUGACCAGAGUGUCAGUUCAUUUCCAGAAAGAUUAAACAACCCCUGCAUACACAAAUGUUCAAAAUUCACAGGCCAUCUGGGGUUUCUGCCUCCUCAGAUGAGAGACCCCAGAUGGAUUGUAAAUUCAUCCCUGUGGGUAAUAUAGUGCAGUUGCUCCUCGGUCUUCCUGAUUUUCCCUGUGGCAUCUAAUACUAUGGCCAUGAUGAGGUUAAUUUAUGUGGCUUGAUACACUUUAUCAUCUGUCACUUGUACAGCUCUCGCUGUGCCAUCUGGUGUCUCAGAGGCGGUUUCGGAAAGCAGCAUGCAUAACAAGGUAUCUGCAUUUGUGAAUUCUUUCAAGCAUUUAUAGGUAAUAGCUAAAAGAUAUUUUGAGAAGCCAAUGCCUGUCUCUGCCGGGGAUCAACACUAACGUGGAUAAUCUGACAUGAGGUUCAAACAAAGCCUGCUAUAUUUUGCAGGAAAACACAUCUGAAUUAGUCUGCAAUCACCAAUAUUGAUGGAACCUAUUUAUUUCAAGACCCUGAAUAUCUCUAUCAGGCUGAGAAUAUCUUACCAGGCUCUUGUGCAAAUCAGGACAAGGCAGAGGCAAUGACUUACUAUCAAACAUGAUGGAUGAUGAGACAAAACGGCACAUGCGGGCACAAAAAAUUGUUUAAAUCAAAAUUCCUGCAGCAAAAUGCCUAAAGUGCCCCUAUGAUAAUGAUUUCAUAUCCAUGUCUCAUUUUCAGCAAUGUGUGAGGACUGCGAGAGAGCACAACCAAACAUUAAAGAGACAAAAUAUGAGACACAGACAGAAAAUACACUCAGGAGAAUGGGAAAUGGUGAAAUGAUACAGC